rnacentral:rRNA from 1 species
AUUGAACGCUGGCGGCAGGCCUAACACAUGCAAGUCGAACGAGUGGCGGACGGGUGAGUAAUGUCUGGGAAACUGCCUGAUGGCGGGGGAUAACUACUGGAAACGGUAGCUAAUACCGCCUACCCUCGGAUGUGCCCAGAUGGGAUUAGCUUGUAGGGGGGGUAACGGCUCACCUAGGCGACGAUCCCUCGCUGGUCUGAGAGGAUGACCAGCCACACUGGAACUGAGACACGGGCCAGGCUCCUACGGGAGGCAGCAGUGGGGAGUAGUGCACACUGGGCGCAAGCCUGAUGCAGCCAUGCCGGGUGUAUGAAGAAGGCCUGCGGGUUGUAAAGUACGUGCAGCGGGGAGGCGUUACCCGCAGAAGAAGCACCGGCUAACUCCGUGCCAGCAGCCGCGGUAAGAC